GGAUCACGGGUGAAGAAGAAGAAGAUAACGGUCAUCGAUUAACUUCUAACCAACAUUUGCAAUGUGAGCUUAUUGGAGUGGAAUAUCUUUACCAGCAAACUGGUAAAGUUCUGCAGGACUACAAGUUGGCCAUUGAAGAGUCAGAGACUACUGAGGUUGGUAUAGAGGUGGAUGAAGGUUAUGCUGAACUUGAGGAGUUUCAGGACAUCACUGUCCCCACCUUUGACACUGAACGGACACCUGCUGCCUCUUCACAAGCAUCAGUGUCUGCAGCAUCUGCAGCAUCAUUUCCAACUCCUCCAGCAAACAGCACCACGUCGUCACUGUUUGUGGUCCCUCCAUCAUCAGUGUCAUCUCCUGUCAGCAGCUCACUGCACGCUGAAUCAACUCUUUCCUGGAGCACAUAGCUUGGACCGAUUAUCUGCAGAAACGGAUCGUCCAACAUUGGAAGAGAAC